AUUGAACGCUGGCGGCAGGCCUAACACAUGCAAGUCGAGCGGAGCUGCGGACGGGCGAGUAAUGCCUAGGAAUCUGCCUGGUAGUGGGGGAUAACGUCCGGACACGGGCGCUAAUACCGCAUACCAUCAGCUGAGCCUAGGUCGGAUUAGCUAGUUGGUGGGGUAAAGGCCUACCAAGGCGACGAUCCCUAGCUGGUCUGAGAGGAUGACCAGCCACACUGGAACUGAGACACGGUCCAGACUCCUACGGGAGGCAGCAGUGGGGAAUAUUGCACAAUGGGGGCAAGCAUGAUGCAGCCAUGCCGCGUGUGUGAAGAAGGCCUUCGGGUUGUAAAGCACUUUCAGCGGGGAGGCGUUACCCGCAGAAGAAGCACCGGCUAACUCCGUGCCAGCAGCCGCGGUAAUUC
rnacentral:rRNA from 1 species